AACGAACGCUGGCGGCAUGCCUAACACAUGCAAGUCGAACGAGACCUUCGGGUCUAGUGGCGCACGGGUGCGUAACGCGUGGGAAUCUGCCCUUGGGUUCGGAAUAACAGUUAGAAAUGACUGCUAAUACCGGAUGAUGUCUUCGGACCAAAGAUUUAUCGCCCAGGGAUGAGCCCGCGUAGGAUUAGCUAGUUGGUGAGGUAAAGGCUCACCAAGGCGACGAUCCUUAGCUGGUCUGAGAGGAUGAUCAGCCACACUGGGACUGAGACACGGCCCAGACUCCUACGGGAGGCAGCAGUGGGGAAUAUUGGACAAUGGGCGAAAGCCUGAUCCAGCAAUGCCGCGUGAGUGAUGAAGGCCUUAGGGUUGUAAAGCUCUUUUGCCCGGGAUGAUAAUGACAGUACCGGGAGAAUAAGCCCCGGCUAACUCCGUGCCAGCCGCCGCAGUAAGAC
rnacentral:rRNA from 1 species